AAUAGCCUUUCACCUCUGGAGAGCUGGAGUCAAUUCCGGCGAAUCCGGUCCCGCCGUGCAUCAUGGCAAAGUGAGACUGUUGUCUUGCCACCUGGUUCAGCUUGGCCAGAUCGAGCGGAGAAAUGAGGAAGACAAACAUAAAGAUGAAGUGCUUAAUUCAAGGUCACACAAUGUCGGGGAUGGACCUCCAGAUUUCCUUACUGACCUGCAUUAUCUUGUGGAUACCUGAGUGAAUUCCACACCACCCAUUUUAUAGAUGAAACCACUGAGACAUGGAGCAAUUGACUGAGUAGUCACUGCCCCACCCCUGCCUGGAGCCUCACACAUGACUCGCCUCCUCUCAGUGACCACAGGUGAGACGUGGUCUUGUAACACAGUGGUUAAGAAUGUGACUUUGGAGCCAGCCUGCUAGGGGCUGAAUUCUGACUCAGCCAUUUACUAACUGUGUGACCUUAGGUCACAGAAUUUUCCACACUCCUUGACAGAGGUGCUUAACCCUUAUCCAUCAGCAUUCUCAGACAGCACCUCCGGUUAGGGACAGU
rnacentral:lncRNA from 1 species